rnacentral:rRNA from 1 species
UGGGGAAUUUUGGACAAUGGGCGCAAGCCUGAUCCAGCCAUGCCACGUGAGUGAAGAAGGCCCUCGGGUUGUAAAGCUCUUUUGUCCGGAAAGAAAAGCAUUCGGUGAAUACCCGGAUGUUCUGACGGUACCGGAAGAAUAAGCACCGGCUAACUUCGUGCCAGCAGCCGCGGUAAUACGAAGGGUGCAAGCGUUACUCGGAAUUACUGGGCGUAAAGCGUGCGUAGGUGGUUGUUUAAGUCUGAUGUGAAAGCCCUGGGCUCAACGUGGGAAUGGCAUUGGAAACUGGGGAGCUAGAGUGCGGUAGAGGGUAGUGGAAUUCCCGGUGUAGCAGUGAAAUGCGUAGAGAUCGGGAGGAACAUCUGUGGCGAAGGCGACUGCCUGGACCAGCACUGACACUGAGGCACGAAAGCGUGGGGAGCAAACA